rnacentral:rRNA from 1 species
GUGCUAAGGUAGCAUAAUCAUUUGCUAUUUAAUUGGUAGCUGGAAUGAAAGGUUAAACUAGCUUACUCAGUUUGUUGUGUUUUGUAAGAAAUUAAAGUCGAGGUAAGAAUUCUUUGAUCUGCUAGGGGACGAUAAGACCCUAGAAGCUUAACAAUAAGAGUAUUUAUUAGUUAUAAAAAUUAAUUUGUUUUACUGGGGCGGUAAAGGUAUAUAAACUAUUAGUGUAUUGAUAGAUCCUUAAAAUAAAGAUAAAACGGGAAAGUUACUCUAGGGGUAACAGUGCAAUAUUUUUGGAGAGAUCAUAUCGAUAAAAAUGUUUGCAACCUCGAUGUUGAAUUAAGAUGUCUACGUGAAGCACCCGGUACGUGAGAGGGUUUGUUCAACCUUUAAAUUUUUACAUGAUCUGAGUUCAAACCG